UACGUAGGGUGCAAGCGUUAAUCGGAAUUACUGGGCGUAAAGCGUGCGCAGGCGGUUGUGCAAGACAGAUGUGAAAUCCCCGGGCUUAACCUGGGAACUGCAUUGGUGACUGCAUCGCUCGAGUAUGGCAGAGGGGGGUAGAAUUCCACGUGUAGCAGUGAAAUGCGUAGAGAUGUGGAGGAAUACCGAUGGCGAAGGCAGCCCCCUGGGUCAAUACUGACGCUCAUGCACGAAAGCGUGGGGAGCAAACAGG
rnacentral:rRNA from 1 species